rnacentral:rRNA from 1 species
CAUACCCUUUCCUGCGGAAUAGCUCCGGGAAACUGGAAUUAAUACCGCAUACGCCCUACGGGGGAAAGAUUUAUCGGGGAAGGAUUGGCCCGCGUUGGAUUAGCUAGUUGGUGGGGUAAAGGCCUACCAAGGCGACGAUCCAUAGCUGGUCUGAGAGGAUGAUCAGCCACAUUGGGACUGAGACACGGCCCAAACUCCUACGGGAGGCAGCAGUGGGGAAUAUUGGACAAUGGGCGCAAGCCUGAUCCAGCCAUGCCGCGUGAGUGAUGAAGGCCUUAGGGUUGUAAAGCUCUUUCACCGAUGAAGAUAAUGACGGUAGUCGGAUAAGAAGCCCCGGCUAACUUCGUGCCACCAGCCGCGGUAAUACUAAGGGGGCUAGCGUUGUUCGGAAUUACUGGGCGUAAAGCGCACGUAGGCCGAUAUUUAAGUCAGGGGUGAAAUCCCGCAUCUCAACUGCGGAACUGCCUUUGAUACUGGGUAUCUGGAGUAUGGAACAGGUAAGUGGAAUUCCGAGUGUAGAGGUGAAAUUCGUAGAUAUUCGGAGGAACACCAUUGGCUAAGGCGGCUUACUGGUCCAUUACUGACGCUUAGGUGCGAAAGCGUGGGGAGAAAACAGGAUUAGAUACCCUGGUAGUCCACGCCUAAACGAUGAAUGUUAGCCGUCUGGCAGUAUACUGUUCGGUGGCUCAGCUCACGCAUUACACAUUCCCGCCUGGGGAGUACCGUCGCAAGAAUUAAAACUCAAAGGAAUUG